rnacentral:rRNA from 1 species
AUACGGAGGGUCCAAGCGUUAUCCGGAUUUAUUGGGUUUAAAGGGUGCGCAGGCGGAAUGAUAAGUUAGUGGUGAAAUCCCGAGGCUCAACUUCGGAACUGCCAUUAAUACUGUCAUUCUUGAAUUCGGUUGAAGUGGGCGGAAUGUAGCAUGUAGCGGUGAAAUGCAUAGAGAUGCUACAGAACACCGAUCGCGAAGGCAGCUCACUAAACCAACACUGACGCUCAGGCACGAAAGCGUGGGGAGCGAACAGGAUUAGAAACCCCAGUAGUCC